rnacentral:rRNA from 1 species
UACGAGGGGUGCAAGCGUUGUUCGGAAUCACUGGGCGUAAAGGGAGCGUAGGCGGAGAAUCAAGUCGACCGUACAAUACCGAGGCCCAACCUCGGAACUGCAGUCGAGACUGGUUUUCUUGAAUUAUUCAGAGGCAGGCGGAAUUCCAGGUGUAGCGGUGGAAUGCGUAGAGAUCUGGAAGAACACCAAUGGCGAAGGCAGCCUGCUGGGGAUUAAUUGACGCUGAGGCUCGAAAGCGUGGGUAGCAAACAGG